UACGUAGGGGGCAAGCGUUGUCCGGAUUUAUUGGGCGUAAAGAGCGUGUAGGCGGCCUGGUGGGUCUGCUGUGAAAACUCGAGGCUCAACCUCGAGACGUCGGCGGAAACCAUCUGGCUAGAGUCCGGAAGAGGAGAGUGGAAUUCCUGGUGUAGCGGUGAAAUGCGCAGAUAUCAGGAAGAACACCAGUGGCGAAGGCGGCUCUCUGGGACGGUACUGACGCUGAGACGCGAAAGCGUGGGGAGCGAACAGG
rnacentral:rRNA from 1 species